GCGCCAUGGCGCUCGCUGGGAAUCCACCGGCUGCCGGGCUACUGAAAGGACCCUCUGCUCGGAGGACAUGUUGCAGGCCCUGUGUAAUGCCCUCGGCGCCUGUGCGACUUCCAGGGGGUCUGCGUUUCACGGCCCCGUUACCAGCUGGGAAGUUCUCCAUGGAGGAGACGACAUCUUGUCCAGCACCAGCUUCACCAUCUGGGACCAAGUGUACGAGGGGGUCGCACUGCAAGCACAUGAAAGGAGGGCACUGCAACCUUGAGGUCAA